CUCUGUGUUCUCUGUGUCCACAGUGAAAAGUUCAGCAGGAAAAUCCGCUUUGUUCAAAAUCUUCAUCAACUUUCAACGAUGAUUCCGACAGAAAGACUUCAGAUCCCUGAGACUGUCCUCAUGUUUGAUGAAAAGUUGACUCGAUGACAAACUCGGAGGUGGAUGGAUUCAGUGGCUCGUUGAGGUUCAAACUGUAAAUAAACUUUUAAACUGUU